CUUUGCCUUAUUGUUGUUCCCCACACAACACAACCCUCACAUUUCAAAUCUUCUCUACACAACACACAUAAACUUAGACAAGGAGAAAACCUCUCUCUCUGCAUGGAAAAAAACAAUAUUUUCAUAAUGUCUCACCAAUCCUCUAUUGAAUCUGAUGGCAUGAUUCCUUCACACCCAUUGGACUCAAAAAAUCCCCACCCAUCAAAAGAUACAAACUUUGAGGAAAAACAAGAAGACCCUUUUCUCUUGAGAAACCAAAACCAUGAUGUAACCCAAAAUCAACCUGUUUCAAAGACAAUUCUUUGCAACAAGGAGACAGUGGCAUCUAAGGAUGUUGAAGAAAAAGUGUUAACUACUACAAGUGUGAAUGAAGUAUGGGAAGAAGAGAGUGAAAGAGAGAGGUUGAAGAGGCAUAGAGUUGAAGUAGCUGGAAGGGUAUGGAUUCCUGAAAUAUGGGGUCAAGAGGAAUUAUUGAAGGAUUGGAUAGAUUGCAGUGCAUUUGAUGCUCCUUUAGUUCCAAGCAAGAUCACUAUGGCACGUGCUGCUUUGGUUGAGGAUGGUACUAGAGCCAAUGCUGCUGCUCUAAGUAUAGACAACAGUAUCUAUUGGGCCUUUACAAAUGACUUACCUUGGAUAUACUAGUGAUGUCUACUUCUACUAAUGCUAACAACUAGCAAUAUCCAUCGGUUCAGAAUACAUUGUACAGAACUAAGGGACAUGGAAUUCAAUGUAAAUAAGGAUUUAUCUCUUAAUAACAACUGCACAAAUGUUGAUGUUCAAAACACUCGAGUUUUCAGACACCAAGAAGAGCAACUAAACAAAAAGAUCUGAUUCAAGUCCAUAAAUGUAUGAAGAAAAUGAGAAGAGCAUUGUAUUAAGAAAAACAGUGGAAACAAGCUGCUCCAGUUCACCAGUAACCUUUGUGUUAGUCUCUUCAAAAUAAAACAGUUCAAAGAAAAGAUACAGAUAAAUGAAGUUGCAAAUACUGUUAACAGUAUAGCUGUUAGGUUGAGUUUUCUCUCCACUUAAGUUGUAAAUGAAGAAACAUUUGGCAUUGGUUUGUUAAGUCUUUUGCUACACUUGUCCUUGUAAUUGCAAGUACAAACUACAAAGAGACAAAAUUAUCAGUUUAUCUAUAAGCACAAUUAGAUAACAGAA